rnacentral:rRNA from 1 species
GGAUUAGAUACCCUGGUAGUCCACGCUGUAAACGAUGUCUAUUAGGAGUCUGUGCCCUUGAGGCGUGGGUUCCAAAGCUAACGCGUUAAGUAGACCGCCUGGGGAGUACGGUCGCAAGAUUAAAACUCAAAUGAAUUGACGGGGGCCCGCACAAGCGGUGGAGCAUGUGGUUUAAUUCGAUGCAACGCGAAGAACCUUACCUACUCUUGACAUCCAGAGAACUUAGCAGAGAUGCUUUGGUGCCUUCGGGAACUCUGAGACAGGUGCUGCAUGGCUGUCGUCAGCUCGUGUCG